ensembl:lncRNA
GUUAUGUUUAGGGUUUACGGGUUAGGUUAAGUCUUAGGUAUAAGUUAGGUUAAAUUUAGGUAAUUAUGGGUUAGGUUAAGGGUUAGGUGUGAGGGGUAGGUUAAAUUUAGGCAUAAGUUUAGGGUAAGGCUUUAGGGCAUUUUUGUGUCCCCAUAAGGUUAAUAAAACUUGUCUGUGAGAGUGUGUGUGUUGUGCGUGGUGGGUUCAAGGAGGUUUUAGCACCUAAACCCAGAGUGAAUGCUCUCAUAGUGACAUCAGUCCUGAAAGAUGAAGUAUCUUCUGGUCUGUCUUCUCCUUUCCUCUCUCUGGUCGAUCUCUUCUUGGGGUAUAACCAACACAGGGUUAGUGGUGAUCCAGUCUCCUCAUUAUGUGACGGUAACUGAGGGGGAAACUGUUCCCAUCCAGUGCUGCUGGAAUAAAAAUUUGACGAGGGUCACAGUUAAUUGGAAGAGCAAUGCAAAAAAUACGUCUGAGCUUGUCAAUAAGAGUCAGUGUCAGAAGAGCGCUUCUGAACAGUACGUAUCCUGUUGUUCAAAUCUGACCAUCUCAAACCUGAACAGAAGAGACUCCGGGACAUACACCUGUAAAAUAUCUUCAGAGUCACCAGUUCUUCAACAGUCUGUGGGGAACGGGACACAUCUUACAGUAACUUCAAAAAAUGAUGGAAUCAGCGGUGACCUACAUAACAAUCUGCAUUGGUCUAUCAUUGCUCUUCUGGUUCUCCUGCCUCCCCCAUUACUCCUGGCCCUCCUCUACCUGUACAGAGUGAAAAGAAAACAAGUAUUAAAUGAUGGAAUCGGUGAGUGUUUUCAGACAAUUAACAACUUUAGGGGAAAGCUACACACUUCAUUACUGCUAUAUGAGGUAAGUAUAAGUUGACUAGAAACCACAUUGUGUUUCAAUAGUUGGGCAACAACUCCACUCCUUCUGUACAGGUGACCUACAUAAAAAUCUGCCUCCAUCAAUCAUUGCCCUUCUUGCCCUUCUAAAUGUCAAUAGAAAAUAUUCCAAAAUAAUGUGUUUUUGUUUAGAAUUUGAGACUACAAAGAUAAGACACUGAAUUAGAUACAGUAAUGCUCCUGAAAACCAGAAUGCAGUGCACCUUUUCCAAAAAAUUACAUUACAGCCUUAUUCUAAAAUUGAUUACAUUUAUUUUCUUCUUAAUCAGUCUACAUUCAAUCCCAGAUAUUGACAAAGCAAAAACAGGUUUUUAGACUGUAUGUAAUCUGUCAGUUUGUGUGGUUUGAUAUGAUGUGUGUUUACAGGGGUCAUUGAAUCUUCUGAGGUCAUUUUUACUCCUAGAGGUGUCUCCCAGUCCUUACACUGGUAGCCAUAUUCUGCUACUACAAGUGCAAGAAAAGCCAAACUGUAGUUAAGAGACCAGAGGACACGGCCUUCAGAGAGGAAAGAGACACAAACCAACCGGUGACUUCCUGUUGAUGACAAUGGACCUCAGCCUUGACACCACUCCACUGCAGAACAUCACACCUUGUCUCAGUCGCUCAUCGCUGUUAGUUCACCACUGAUGAACUGAUCCU